CUUGGAGCCUGUGGAAUUACCCAUGAAGGAUCUCCGAUUGUGUAAAAAUAAUAGUAGUCAGAGAUAAAUAAAAUAAAAUAAAUAAAGAAAUUGGAAAAGAAAAAAAAAUGUUUACCAUACAUAAACGACAAUAGGAGGGAGUAUGAAGGUUCAGAUGUACCGGAGACGUCUUGCGGAAAGCGUCGAUGCUUCACUCGGUUUCCAUGGUUUUGAAACCAACAAUAAAUGUUGUAUUCUCUGAUUUCCCCGUACUCUUGAGUCAUUCUGCAAUCUCGCAAAUCUGAUCUCGACUAGGAUUAAUGAUCCCAUAGUUGAAAAUGUUCAACAAGAUUUUAACUUGUUCAUACUUCUUCUAUAAAAAAAAA
rnacentral:lncRNA from 1 species